rnacentral:lncRNA from 1 species
CCAACCAAACGCUGGGACCGGUAGCGGCAGCGAUGGUCACGCCACCGUCGGAUGCCUGCUCACGGUCGGCAUGCAGGUGCUCGCCACCGCCGUCCCCUCCGCCAAGCUUAACCUCUCCACCGUCACCGCCAUCAACAACCACCUCUGCAACACCGUGCAACAGGUUAGAGCCGUCAUCGCCGGUGCCGGUGGCACGGCCAUGGCCGAGCCGGCUGCCGUGGCGCCGGAUCAAUAACACGAGGAAGUGACUGGAGUUACCUGAACCCUAAGUACUGAACCAUUAAACCUCGUGAACAUGUCUCUUCAGUGACGAUGACCCCAGUGGUCGUGUUGGCGAAGUAGGAAGGCGGGGUUCAAGGUAAACUCCAAGGAUGGUAGUGGAGUCUGUAGAGUGUCUAGUUCAAGUGGCAGCGUCGUACUGUAACAUGUCAGUGGAAGAAGAGAGGCCAAGGAGACUAGUUAGGUUGAAGGAGGGAAGUCAAGAGCGCACCAGAUGUGACCCUUGCUCGCUGGCGAAGCCCAUCUCACGAGGGGAGGAGGGCGUUGGUUCGGGAAUUGACUUCUUGCUCUGUGGUGGUCAGCUUCCUGUUGGUUUGUGUUUGUGUUUGUGUUUCUGUUGAGUUGCCUCGGAUGGGGGU